ACACAUGCAAGUCGAACGCAGUAGCAAUACUGAGUGGCAGACGGGUGAGUAACAUGGUGGGAAUCUGCCUUGUGGUUCAGGACAACAUUGGGAAAACCGAUGCUAAUACUGGAUAAGCCCUUACGGGGUAAAGUUUUAAUGCCAUAAGAUGAGCCCGCAUUUGAUUAGUUAGUUGGUGAGGUAAUGGCUCACCAAGACAAUGAUCAAUAGCUGAUCUGAGAGGAUGAUCAGCCACACUGGGACUGAGACACGGCCCAGACUCCUACGGGAGGCAGCAGGUGGGGAAUCUUGCACAAUGGAAGGAAACUCUGAUGCAGCGAUGCCGCGUGAGUGAAGAAGGUCCGUUUGGGUUAGUAAAGCUUCUUUUGUAGGGGAAGAUAAUGACUGUACCCUAAGAAUAAGGUCCGGCUAACUUCGUG
rnacentral:rRNA from 1 species